AGUUUGGAUCCUGGCUCAGAACGAACGCUGGCGGCGUGCUUAACACAUGCAAGUCGAACGUGAAUCACCCUUCGGGGUGAGGAAAGUGGCGCACGGGUGAGUAACACGUGGAUAAUCUACCCGAUGAUCUGGGAUAACAUCUCGAAAGGGGUGCUAAUACCGGAUAAGCCCACGGGCUCUUCGGAGCUUGCGGGAAAAGGUGGGGAACCUUCGGGUCUACCGCAACGGAUGAGUCGCGUCCUUAGCUAUUGGGGGAAUGCCUCCAGACGAGGUCUGUUGAAGAUAUACCCCUGACUAACGGCAAUCCGAGGACAUGGAUUUNCAUGCAANUNCCCACCCNUANAUAAGUUGNCNAANUUGAAGAAACUCGUAANUAUGNUGCGCCUAAGAACGUAUCNCCCGCGGAUCAAGCAUCUACGA
rnacentral:rRNA from 1 species